AACCACAAAUGUUGCUCCUAAUGGUACUGCUCAGAGUAACAGCGGAACUGCUCCCCUUGGGUCAAGCUACCAGAAUUCAUCACUGACCCCUGAUGGAACCUAUAGGGCACCCUUGCUAGGUGGAGUCCCUUCUACUGGUUACGUGGACUCAACCUAUGGGUAUGACACCACAGGGGCACACUAUGCUUGGUAUGAUGGUUCUGCCUAUACCAAUGCACAGCAAAGACCAACUACAGCUAAUUACACGCCGUCU
rnacentral:lncRNA from 1 species